rnacentral:tRNA from 1 species
GUGACCGUAGUUCAGUUGGUAGAGCACCUGAUUGUGGUUCAGGUUGUCGUGGGUUCGAGCCCCAUCGGUCACC